rnacentral:rRNA from 1 species
UAUUAUGUACAUGCCUACAACAUAUUGUUAAGGCACCGUAUCCUAUUAGAACUUCGUAGUUAAGCAUGCUUGGGAUAGAGUAGUACUAGGAUGGGUGACAACUCAAGAGUUCCUAGCGUCUUAC